rnacentral:rRNA from 1 species
UACGAAGGGUGCAAGCGUUACUCGGAAUUACUGGGCGUAAAGCGUGCGUAGGUGGUUCGUUAAGUCUGAUGUGAAAGCCCCGGGCUCAACCUGGGAACUGCAAUGGAAACUGGCGGGCUUGAGUGUGGCAGAGGGGGGUGGAAUUCCGCGUGUAGCAGUGAAAUGCGUAGAGAUGCGGAGGAACACCGAUGGCGAAGGCAGCCCCCUGGGCCAACACUGACGCUCAGGCACGAAAGCGUGGGGAGCAAACAGG